rnacentral:rRNA from 2 species
CCAAUAGCGUAUAUUAAAGUUGUUGCAGUUAAAAAGCUCGUAGUUGAAUUUCGGGAUUGACACAUCGGUCGUGCCUUAAGGGGUAUGAACUGGUGUAGUCAAUUUCUCACCUUCUGGAGAACCGCGAUGCCCUUAAUUGGGUGUCACGGGGAACCAGGACCUUUACUUUGAAAAAAUUAGAGUGUUUAAAGCAGGCAUUU